rnacentral:rRNA from 1 species
UACGGAGGGUGCGAGCGUUGUCCGGAAUCAUUGGGCGUAAAGGGCGCGUAGGUGGCGGCUUAAGCGUGCGGUGAAAGCUCGGGGCUCAACCCCGAGUCGGCCGUGCGAACUGAGUCGCUUGAGCACUGUAGAGGCAGGCGGAAUUCCGGGUGUAGCGGCGGAAUGCGUAGAGAUCCGGAAGAACACCGGUGGCGAAGGCGGCCUGCUGGCAGUAGCUGACACU